rnacentral:lncRNA from 1 species
GUGUUUUGUAGAUGUGAUUAUCAUUUAAAUCAGUAGACUUUGAGUAAAGCAGAUUACCUCCACGAUAUGGACGGGUCUCAUCCAACCCAUCGAAAGCCUUCAGAGAAAAGACUAAGGUCUCUCCAAGAGAAGGGAAUUCUGCCUCUUGACUAUCUUCAGACUCAAGGCUGCAACAUUGACUCCUGCUAAAAUUUCCAGCCUGCCAGCUUGCUCUACAAAAUUUGGACUUGCCAGCCCUCACAAUCACAUCAGCCAGUUCCUUAAAAGAAAUCUCUAGCUAUGUCAUACAUCCAAUUGGUUUUGUCUUUCUGGAGAGCCAUGACUAAUACAGAACCCUACUGGAUCCUGUGUGGAAACUUCAGCUUGGGUUCUUGGGGCUACUGGAGGAAACUUCACCUGGAACUGUGGGCAGCUAUGGGGAUUUGUAGUGCAGCUGCCACUUCCAGGGCAGCCUUAAGUCCCUAGUUCACUCAGGCUAUGAUGCCCUGUGGGUUGUGUAUAGGCUUCAGUGGGUUAUGGUAGCUCAUGUCCCUUUGGCUUUUAAGUCUUAUAGGUGACAGGUGAGUGGUUUGUACAGAUUGAGUAUCCAUUAUCCAAAAUACUUGAGACCAGAAGUGUUUUGGAUCCUAGAUUUUGGAAUAUUUGCCUAUACAUAAUGAGAUAUCUUGAGGAUAGGACCCAAGUAUAAACAUGGAAUGUAUUUAUGUUUCAUAUAUAUCUUAUACACAUAGGCUGAAGGUAUAUUUUAUACCACAUUUUAAAUAAUAUUUUGCAUGACACAAAGUUUGAUUACAUUGAGCCAUCAGAAAGCAAAUGUGUCACUAUGUCAGCCACCCAUGUGGACGGUCUGUUGUUGUCUGGCAUCACCAUCAUUCCUGACUUUAUAUGCUACCAAUAAGCAAUAAUUUUCUUAUGCACACAUAAGUAUUUGCCAGUGAAAAAUAUAACCUACCAUUAAUAUAGGUGUAUUAAUGUGUUUAGGGUAACUAAGCAGCACAGUGCCAUCACCAGAAUAAACAACAGCAACAACAAACAAUGGCAGGCUUUCAGUUUCCACCUGUGGUGCUAUGUUUUGAUUAAAAGAUUAUUGUCCACUGUAUUUUUUUUUCAGGUGAGAAGAAAUAGCAAAAGCAGUUGAGGGACCAAGUAGUGGGUCCUGUAGGGAUAAGGAAGCAUUCUGUUGGAUGGCUUUUAAAAAUGUUCCUUCCAGAAUUGCCUACUUCAUUAAUAAAUGGUUUUUGUCUUAGAAGUCUCUGAUUUUAUAAAUUGACAUGAUUUCUUGUUCUGUUAUGGAUUCGUCAUGUCCUUCAAUAAGCCCAUCACCCAUUUUCACCAUGUUUUCUAUAGGCACUUUUUCUACAGUGUUAACCAUGUCAUCUUCUUAUCGCUAUUUUCACAAUCACCUUGAUUGAGAACCAUUCUGGCUAUUUCAAGUCAAGAUAGAACAAGUGGAGUCUCAUUGAUGUUAAAAAAAACUUCUUUGAUAUCUACUUCCAUCUUACUGGCAGACUGAAGGUUGUGUCACACCUUUUCCUGAACUUUGGCUCAAUUGAAGAAGGAAACUUUCAGGGGAAUUCCAAUAGUAAACAACAGAACCAGCAGUUUUACAAUAAACUGCAGAGCUCCAUUUCAAAACACAAAAAUAGAGCGUCUCUGCAGUGAUGUACUGCCUUAAGGAAGGUAGAUUCCACCUUUGAAGGAGUCUUACAAAACCAUUGCCUUUAUCUACAUUUAGCAGGUAAAUGCAAUGAUUAAAUAUGAAGAAGAGCAUUGACAAGAUGAAAUGGGCUCAUUCUCAGCAAUGUUAUUUCAAAAAGAAAACCUGAGUGAUUCACGUAUUCAUAUGUCCAUCUGAAAAUGUCCUUCUCUCAACAAACUACUCAGUGAAAACUCAUCUUCAUAUAGUUAAUGCUGGAGUGCUAAUAAACUGUUGCAAAUUUCAAAAAUAGUGUCAUAACUUCCUAUACAGAGUCUAAAGAAAGUGGAGGUGUGAUGUAGUCUAGGGUUAUCAAUAGGGCAGCAUGACUUGAUGGGGCUUAAGACUUCUACACACAGCCAGCAAGCAUUUAAUGAGCAUCCCUGAGGGGCUUAAUGUUCCAUACUAUUACUCAAGGACUUUUUCUUAUUUGCCAAGAUUACUUGGUAAAUCUACAAAGCCAAGUGGCCUAUGGCCAGAGUUCAAAUAGUUUCUUGUCAAUUCUUCCCUCCCUUUCACAGUUGCAAGGCAUGGAAAAGAGGAAAUGGGAUGAGAUGGGAUGGCUUUCGUCCUGGCCUGCUUCAAGCACUGUUUCACCAUAAAAAAGGAACUCUCCACUGCUCCUCUUAAACAGAUAAAAUAUUUUGUGCUUAGAAUUCAAUGACUCAUCCCACUUGGACAUAACUACAUUCUUUCUAGGGCGGAAAUCUCGCAUUCAAGUGCAGCUGGCCAAGUUGAAGAAAGAACUUCAAGGCAGUUCUGGGAAAGAACUUUAAGCCUUAGCCCUGAUUAUGAGAAAGAAGUUUUGCUCUUUGCAAAGGAUUAGGAGCAUAACUGUGCUAGUGAAUAACAAUCUCGGACUUAGCCAAAGAAUGCUUGGGUGGGAUUUUGAUUAUCAUUAUGGUAUUUUUUAAAAUGUAAGCAUCUAAGUCUUCAAAUUCUUUGAUAAAUUUAAUUUUAAUACUUAAUUUUGGGCAAUCAAAGCACAAAGAAGUAGAAACUGGAGUGAAAAUGGGUGGGUUACCAGAUACUUACAAUAAUAAAAGUGUCAUUUUGCCAACUUAUUUUGUAGCUAAAAUUACAAUUUUCAAUGCUAUAUGUAGUUGAAGAUAGCCAUCAUCUGCGAGUGCUUAUUAUAUGCCAGGAACUAAGCUAAGCUCUUAACCUGCAAAAUUUCAUUCAAUCCUUGCAUAGACACUAUGUGAUAGAUGGACUACAAUUGCCACAUUGAAUCAACAUUUGCCUGAGAGACCAAUGGGCAUUUAUUGAACACUAUUUAGGGAUUAAUGUGAAGCGGUGGCAAAGAAGGAAAGGUAUAGCAUUUAGAGGAACACAGUAUUUCAUAGAAUCUUAGUGAGGGAAGGGAUGUUGAAGGACUAAGGCUGAUGCCAACUCCGUUGGGCAAGUAAUCAUCGCUUCUAGCUUUUAUAAAUUAUUAAAAUAUAUUUUGAUUUCAGUUUUUCUGAUCUGUUUAUAUUGUCUCUUAAGUCCUUUAGAAUCACUUCACACUAUGCUCUCAUCCAGGUGAAAAGGAACUCAGAAAGAAUGUAAUUAGCCUCAUUUUCUAGCCUAAAACCUUGUGCAGUGGACCUAGAGGCUCCCAAACACGUGCUAAGGUGUAAGGGCCCAUGGGCUGCAUAUCAGUAGGUAACCAAGGCAUUCUUUUGUGUAUGUGUUGCCCAAAUCCCUUAAGAGCACCUAUACAUCUUGACAAUUUUCAGUACAAAUCCUUUUCAAGUGAAAAAUAAACAAGUAUUUAAUACUUAAAAAUCUUUCUUUCUGUUUCAGACAGAAUUCCAGCUGUCUGCUUCUUCCGUCCCUCCAACAAAAACAAAACAAGGGACUUGCAUCCAUUUACAGUCUACAUAGUUUAAUCUUCGUGCUAUCUUAUAGGAGGAGUUCCUCUUGCUGUAUUUCUGAUAUUGGCAACCUCUUCCAUUGUCUGCAUACUCUCUGGUAUCCCUUAAUGCUAUGCCAUAGUCAUUGCAACUCUGUUAGUUCAAACCUAUAUUAGUUAUUUUUUAAAUUGCUGUUGCUUACUAAUUUUAGGUUCAUUUUCAGUCCUACCCUUUCCCUACCAAUCUACCAUUGCUGCCGCCAUUACCUUUACAAAACACACCACAAGUCUUAUCUGCAUUAAACCUGCUUAAAACUGGUGAUAAGCCCUCACUGUUCCUUAAGGCCUGCAGGAUAAAAUACCAACUCCUCAGUGCUGGGGUUUGGAGCAGAGCUUAAUUACUCACUUUUCUUCUUUUGCACAUUGUGGAUCAAUUCUGAAUUGGACACAUAAGUCAGAUGGGAAUGAAAAUGCAGUGCCUGAUUCACUGCUGAGAAUGCAGCACUGGGGCUGGGGCCAGAGGCAGGCUAAAAUGAGGCCAUGGCAAUCUUCCCCGUGAAUUUACCUAAGUUCAGGAAGAGCUGCUGGGGAGCAGUAUCCCAUUUUCUUUUGGUGCAGGCUUUGGGGUCUGGAGAUUACUUUAGAAGUUGAACAAUCUAUGACAAGCCUGUUUGCAGGGUUUGAGGAGUCUCUAGAAAUAACCUUUAGAAUCUCAGAGGGAGGCCAGACUAUUCGAUAUUUAGAAAUUCAACAGGCUAGUCAAUUAGAACAGGGAUCUACUAUGGCAUGUUCCUUAAAUCCAACCUGGUUUUGGAGUUUCUGUCUCUGAAUAAUGUCUUUACCUUCUUGCCCCUUGGUCCCUGCACUUAGAACCAUGGGCUGGCGUAAUGAGGGGGGCUGUCUCUUUAAAAUGAGCUUGUCUUUUAAGGCGGGGAGUACAUAGCCAGAAGUUUUUGGUAAGGGCCUAGGAAAUUAGGUUUCCCCCAGUGUUCCUGCUUUUCCUGCAAUUCAGUAUUAUCUCCUUUCAAAACAGAAAACUCAUACUUUGUGUCUUCUCAAGGAUUGCUGGAGGAAGAAAUGAUCUCUUUGGUGAGGCUACAUAGGCCCUUCCCUCUGUUGUAGAGGGACAGCUUGGUCUGAAGCUUCUAGGAUAAUAAAGGCUGCAAAAUAUGGUCGGCCCAUUUUAACUUUGUCACAACAUAUCUGGAGAGACACAGAAGUGAAUUUGUUGAGUCCCAGGAACAGCAAGGAAAAACCUUCCCUGCUGCUUUGCUACCACUUAAGAGGCACCACUAACAUCCCAGGUAAAGAGGGGCAGUGUUGACCGCCCAGGGUCCCACCUGUUGUCUGUCUUUCCUUUCAUUUUAAUGCCUGUCAAUUCCAACACCCCACUUCCAGGUACCCAUCUCUGCAUUUGGCAGGAUUGUUUUGGGUGCAAAUGAGAGAAACCCAGCUCAAGCUAGAUUAUGGCUGGAAAUACGGAAGUCUAAGGGGUAUCUCUGGCAUCAGGCUUGGCUGCAUCUAGGGGUUUAAACUGCAUUAUGAAGCCUUUCUCUCUCCAUAUCUUGGCUCUUCCCUCUGGUGGUCUUUAGCUUCAGAAAGUCUCUAUUUUUAUAACUCUUUCUGGUACUAGAGAAAGAAAGACCCUUCUUUUCCCAGAAACUUUAUAUCAAAUAUGAUGAAGAAGGUCUGAUUGGUGCUCAGUUUGGGGCUAAUCUCCCUGAUCAAUUGCAGUGGCCAGAGGGAUGAGCUCUUCUGAACAGCCAGGUCUGGGUCAUAUGUCUUGUGCCUAUCUACCUCUGGGAACCAGAGGCAAAGGUAGAAGGAGGUUGGGCUUUUCUGAAGGAAGACAGUGGAACAGACAAGAAACAUAUGUUCACUAUACAGACUCUAUCACACUGUACUGUAAUUAUGUGUUUAUGUGCCUGAUUUAGUUUCCACAUCAGACUCAGAGCUGCUACAUGGUGAAGAUCACAAUUUGUCAGUCUCAGAAAGUCAGAUGGACACGGCUAAGUCUGGAUUUCGCUCCCUUCAUAAAGGAAAAAAAGAGAAUUUCCCAAGCACUGCAGCCAUGUGGCCAUGUGGCAUCUCCCCUAACCACCAGAGCCAGCCGGGUCAACACCCUUUUCGUCACACUGAGAAAGGAUGCUGGCAC